AGGGUACUCUGCUGGCCAGUGGGUUCCCCUGAAAAUAUAAAUAAAGCACGUAGAGUGACAGAGUUGCUGUAUAUGAAGAGGAAAGAAAUGCAGUGACAGUCAUCGUGGGGGUGAAGCAACAUGGUGAAACUUCUGUUGGAUUUCUCCCUAUCGCUUUAGGAAAAACAAGUUGUACACCUUAAGAGAAGAGAUGGAUGUUACUGUUCAUGUACCACCGAUGAGGACAACAUUGUCCCUAGGGAUGAGCGAAUCAAAUCUGAUGAUAAUUGAAGGGAAAUAGAAGAAUGAAUGGACAAGGGCUCCAUUCCAAACAUGGAAAGAUUAUAUACAUAGUUUUAGCAGCCUUCCAAAUUCUACUUAGACAAUGGAGAAGAUGUGAACUCGCACACUCAUUUUUCUAAUAUUACUUUACAUGCGUCAUGUUAAAUCUCCAGGUAUAGCGAUCUCUAGUACUAGAAGUAAUAAAGAACAAUAACUUUCAACUACAGUAUCUCGCAUUGGUACGGCCUCACCUGGAAUAUGCUGUUCAGUUUUGGUCGCCUGUUCAUAAAAGGGACACUGUGGAGCUGGAAAGGGUGCAGAGACGCGUGACUAAACUAAUAUGGGGCAUGGAACAUCUUAGCUACGAGGAGCAAUUAAAGGAGUUACAAUUGUUUAUUCUUGAGAAGAGACGUCUAAGGGGGGAUAUGAUAAACGUAUAUAAGUAUAUUAAUGGCCCAUACAAAAAAUAUGGAGAAAAACUGUUCCAGGUUAAACCCCCCCAAAGGACGAGGGGGCACUCCCUCCGUCUGGAGAAGAAAAAGUUUAGUCUCAAGGGGCGACACGCCUUCUUUACCAUGAGAACUGUGAACUUAUGGAACAGUCUACCUCAGGAACUGGUCACAGCAGGAAAAAUUAACAGCUUUAAAACAGGAUUAGAUACAUUCCUGGAACAAAAUAACAUUAAUGCUUAUGAAGAAAUAUAAAAUCCCAUCCCUUCCCCAAUGUCGCGCCGCGCCCCUACCCUUCAAUUCCCUGGUUGAACUUGAUGGACAUAUGUCUUUUUUCGACCGUACUAACUAUGUAACAUAAGUAAAUAAGCCCUUCAACUUUUUGUAAAUAUUUUAUUACAUCUUUUCAUGUGACAGCAUUGAAGAAAUUACUUUUAGGGUACGUUCACACUACCGAAUUUCCGCGGAAUUCCGUGGUGUGUACUUAACAUUAGUGUGAAUGGGUCUCCGCGAGACACUGCGGAAUUUUAGCGGUGGACAAUUCCGCUGCUGAAAUUGUUCCGCGCAAAGAAAGAACAUGAUCAUUCUUUGCGCGGAUUCCGCGAGCACUGCAUAGCCAUCAAUGGUGACAGCUCAGUGCCCCGCGGCCCUAGCGCCGAAGUAAUUUCAUCGGGGGCCACCUAACGGAAUCUCCGCUUGCUGAAUUCAGCGAGCGGAGAUUCUGCAGUGUGAACGCACCCUUAUGCUGCAACCACCACCAAGGAAUUUUCCAUCUAUAAUGCAAUUUCCACUAUGAUUCAGGCAUCAUAAGUCCUAUAUGCAGUCUCUAAAGAGUUAAUCACUACCGGGAAUCACUAACCUGGUCCAUCAAUUCAGGCUCAUCAAAUAGAAAAUAUUGAACCAGGGCCCUAAUGAUCCAACCACAUUGUUCCCUGGAUACAUCUUCAGUCACAAUAACAGUCCAUUUGUAGCAGCUUCUGGAUAUAAAUUACUCACUAUAUCACCUGCCGGCAAGUUGCUACAUUCAGUAAUCGGAUCGCAACAUAUUCUGGAUAUAACUUCAGCUACAGUUUGCUCGCUUACAUAGUAACCUAUCGCUGUUACUUCUAACCAAUGUGCUAAUUAACAGUAAUGAUGAGUUGCAACUUCAGCUCUGGCAUUAUGGCCGGAGCCUUCCGCUACUCCAAUCGCUGCCACGCACUGAAAAGUCAAAUCAGCAUUCACAAGGCGCGCAACUAUUGAGCAAGUUUAGGAUACAUUGAAAAGGACAAACUGUAAUGAAAAGAUGUAUAACCACAACCGGCAUUCGGCCCGCCGCUACUGCAAGUGCUGCUGCAUCAGAGGAUGUGUUUAAAAGGAAUAUUAACUUAACAUACGGUAACUAUAGCCCAACCUCUUAUUCUACUUUGUAGAUAUCGCUGCUACUGGAUGACACACAGCGUUCACGGGGCACUGUUCCCUAUUUUUCCCCCCAUCACAUGGUAUUGAAACAUAUCCAUGAUUUACCCAUGGAUUUUAUGUAUUUAAUAAUUGUUUAAUCCACAGCUGUUUUAUUUCUAUUUGUAGGCUAUUAUUGCAAUUUUAUUGGAAUCUUUUUAGGUAUUUUACAAUUAUCUUAUAUACUGUAGGAUAGCACAGGAUGUAUCCAGCUACCAUAUUGUGACUCCCACUAGUGAAGCCAGGAGCUGGGUGCACUGGCUUCCCGGGCAAAUCCACAGCCCAUUAAUUCAUUUGUAUGUCUAUAUAUAGUGAGUCCAUGUCAUGUGAAACUAUGCACAUCUUUAUAAAGAGCUCUGUCCAAGCUAGAAACGCUUUGAAAGUGCUACUACCUUUCUUUUUAUGUAUAUGACGAGGAAAUAAAGAA